GACAUACAAGUAGUAGGGAAGGAAACUGGACCGACCCUUCGGGGAGCUUGUACAGGUGCUGCAUGGCUGUCGUCAGCUCGUGUCGUGAGAUGUUCGGUUAAGUCCGCUAACGAGCGCAACCCUCGCUGUGUGUUACAAGUGUCACACGGAACUGCCGGUCAUAAACCGGAGGAAGGUGGGAUGACGUCAAGUCAGCAUGGCCUUUAUAUCCUGGGCUACACACACGCUACAAUGGGAAGGGACAAUAGGUUGCGAAGCCGCGAGGCGGAGCCAAUCCAGCAAAACUUCCCUCAGUUCAGAUUGCAGGCUGCAACCCGCCUGCAUGAAGUUGGAGUUGCUAGUAAACGCAGGUCAGCCAUACUGCGUUGAAUACGUUCCCGGGGCUU
rnacentral:rRNA from 1 species